AGGCUGAGAGGGACGGCCCACCCAACAGAAGCCACAACAGGUCCCCAAAGAAUUUCUGCAGGCUGGGACUCCUGAGUGAAAUGAAGAACUGGGAUUCAACAGAGAGAAAUGUGAAGUCUGCCAGCUAGGGAAUGAAAUGAAAGAACAAAGAGGAAAAUCUUAACCUGUACAGCCUCUUGGAAGAUGGGGUGGGAAGAAAAGACCUGCCUGCCCCACCCCCAGUUUCCUGCUGCCUGGAGAAAUCUGGAAGAUCUCCUAGGGCUUUGGAGAAUGAAGGCACCCUUGUCUGGAUGCCACCACAGCCUCCUCCCUCUCACCCCUGCCUCCUCCUCAUCUUCAGCUCACCAAGGCCAGAUUUGUCUUGCAAAGUGGCAUCAUUAUAAACACAUCAGCCUCCUCUGGACGCCUGUGCCUGCUCCCGCCAGCCCAUCCAGGCUCGAUUACAUCUGAGGCUGUCUGGGCCUCCCUUGCUUUUAGGUUGGUCACAUGACUCACUCCAGCAAAUGGGAUGUGAGCAGAAGGUAUAUAUGUUACCUGGA
rnacentral:lncRNA from 1 species